AAAAACUAAAUCUGUUGAGGCCUAAUGGCGACUGCCACGAACUGUUGUUUACUGUUGAGCAAACGGGGUUUCUUGUGGACUGAAGAAUGCGUUUCAAAAGGAUGAGUUAGAGAUAGGUCCUGUUGAGAGAAAAUUAUAGAGAUUUUGAUAUUGGACCCAAUUAUUCAGAAAACUGCAGAUUUUAGGAAGCUGUUUUUGACAGAAGAUUUGGUUUUUUUCCAUCUGUAUUGCCACCAACCAUUAUGCUGAGAUGGUCAUAUCUAGGGGGAAAGAUUGUCAUUUUACUUCCCAAGGAAGUUCGCAUCCUCUCACUGAAGAGGAACUGUACAGAUUUUCGUGCAUUAUCUUAUACAUGUUUGCUGUGAAGUUCCAGUCGAUAGACAGAUAUUGGUCAAUGCAUGCCCCUUUCGGAACAACCCAGUACAGUGUAUCAGGAAUGAUGUCAAGAAAUAAGUUUUAAGAGGUUGAAUAUAAAAACAUUUUUGUUAAAUAUAAUGCAAGUACAUUUAAAUCUAGUGAUUGAAAGUAAGUACUUGAACAUUCGUAUGCGUUGAACUUACAGAGGAAAAACGGGUAGUACUUUUUGAUAACAUUUGAUAAGGUGCUGUAACUGCUGUUGCUUAGCAACCAAAUAUAUUUGAAUGCAACAAAUUAAAUUAUUUUAGAUUAACAAUAAAGAUCUUUGUUUUAAUGUUGCAAUAUUUAUUCUAUUUAGUGGAACAUAAUGACAAAACGUCAUAUUGUUAGAAAAUGAUGGAUAUGUACAAAGUUUCCAUUUUAUGACCUUUGACCUUAAUUCUCUUCAUCAUAUUUUUUGUCAAAAACUUUUUAAAAUGAUUAAGAUUUAUUUAAAGAUUAUAUUUUUUAAAUAAUGUGACAUUUACUAAUCAUCAUUCAAUGUAAUUGUGUUUAAAUUGUGUCAAAUGUACGUAGAAAGGCAAAUUAUGGUCAAAAUUGUACUACGAGUGUUGUUACUUAGCAACCAAAAAUAUUUGUUUGUCAAUAAAAUUGAUUACUUUGAU